rnacentral:lncRNA from 1 species
AAAGAUGGAUAUAGUUCAGUGUAUGACAUAAGAAUAGGGUCGAAAGAGACCUUUUUCCUCUCGAAAUUUUGUUGUUGUUGUUGUUGAUUAUUGGUGUAGCUGUUGUUGACGUUGUUGUUGAGCUGGCAUUGAUUGAUUGAUUGAAAAUACUGGAAUAACUGAUGAAACUUGGUGAUGAUGUUGACGUGGUUGCGUAUUUCUUUUGACAUGAGGCCU